UGGGCAUUGAGGGGGACAUUUGUUGGAGCCUGCUGGCUUUAGUAAGGUAGAGGGAGGGCGUGAAAAUGGCACCAGUUGGGCCCUACAGGCCACAGCCCCUGAGGCAGGUGCUUUCAGUUGAGCAAAGGAAUCUCACAGCAAGUCUGGGUGAUUUGCAAAUGGCUGUUUCCAAGCUGGGCCCCGAGGGCAGGUGAGUUUUCUCCAGACCCUUAAGAACAGUUUCUCACUUUGCCCCAGCUCUUGUGUUGUCUGGUGGCACUUUUGCUUUCCAGUCAGAUGUUUGGAGGCUUUGUCUUUCACGUGCAAGUCUUAAAAUCUGGGGGUGCCUGAUGUGGGGUACAGACUCUUCGCUCCUCUGGGAGAAGUUCCACGCGUUUCUUCCAUUUUGGGAUACAUCUUCCAUUUCCAGAAGAAAGAAUAGAACCCCACAGCUAGACCUUGAAAAGAAGAAAUAUAACACAGCAUUGGUUAUCAGAUGUCAUUGUGCCAUCAAAACAAACUGAAGAACUCAUAAAAGUACAGAUUCCUGGGUGCCACUCUCAGAGAAUCUUGUUCAAUGAACCUGGAAUGGAGGGAGUGUGACCGUGUUUCCAUUCUUAUUGUACAACACAUCUGGAAAAUAAGAAAAAUGAGCCAGUCUCCUACCAGAUACCCAGCACAUAACACAUUCUUAAUAAGAUGUCAUAUUAAUGAACAUCAAAACAUCUGGAUGAGGGGAUAAUUUGUUUCAUCUUGCUCCAGAUAUUGGCUAUUAUGUUUGCAGAGCUGGCACACCCAGUGCUGGGUCAAUGUGAUUCAAAACUGAGAGGACCCCCAGUGAAAAUUUCUGUCCAGUUUUUUUCCAGGUAAGGAGCCUAGGAAGCCCCUUCCUCCCAUAUUGGGUCUCAGAGCCAUGCUUCAAGAAUCAGAAAAGCCUCAAGAAUCAUCUAGCCUUCCUUACUCUUCAAUGCUAUUCUUCUCUGAACAUUGAGGUCCUAGAUGCAGACAUUGCUGAAUGCAAGGUGGCUGGAGGCCCUGGAGUAGUCCCUGUAUCUCAGGUUCAGGGAACCUUUGGAACCACUCCUUAUCUGGAGAUUUUGGGAACUGAAGCUUCCAGUGGGCCAAUAAAAGCAAGAAAAUAACGGCACAAGGUCCAGAAUCCAGAAGACCGCCCUGGACACUUAGGGAAGCAAUAUACGCCAGUGGUUGAGAAUCUCCACUUCGGAAGCUGAUUUCCAGAGCUGGCAAAUGGGCUCACCAAUAAACAUCUUUGUAACCUCAGGCAAAUCACUUUAUGUGCAUCAUUGAGGAUUGUCAUGAAGACUGAUAAGGUGAUGAAUAAAAAGGAAUAGAGAAUACAAAUCAGUGAAAGGAAUUUGAAAAUCUUUUCAAUCAGUGCGUGAUAUCGGCGAAGACUGAUCGAAGGAUUCUAUCCCUUUACUUUGUAUCCCCUGUAAGCACAAGUGAAACAUGCAGAGGGCCUUCACACAAUAGAAUGAGUAAUGAUGCUGACUUGGUCCUAAAAAUACUUCAGACCACAUGAGGACACAGCACAAAGGUUGCACCUGCAAACCAGGAAGAGAGACUGCACAAAAACCCAUCCCUGCUGGCACCUUGAUCUUGGAAUCCUAGCCUCCAGAACUGUGAAAAAAAACAAAUGUCUAUUGUUUAAGCUACUCACACUAUGGUAUUUUGUAUCCCAAGUUAAUCCACAACUCUACCUAAUUCUCUCCUUUAGUCAUAUAAUACCAUGUAUUACUGUCAAGUCUCACAAGGAGGUUCAUUUCUUGUAUAAUUUCAUCUAACUGGUGAACCCAAUACUGAGUAAUAAAAAAAGCUAUCCCCAAGUCCAUGCAUUUUAAGCUGUGAUAGUCAUGUCACUUGCUUCCUUAACAGACUCUUUAUAAAUAAUAUUAUCCACUGGUCUACUAGGAUCAUCCUGCUUUUUCUAGGUUAUUAUAAGCUUUAGGUACAGGAUAGGUUGAGAUGCAGAAUAUAUAUCCCCAUGCCUAGCUUAAACCAGAUAGCAAUUGAAGGUGAACAAACACAAACAACAACUACUACUUAAAGGCCAAUUAAUCACUGUGUAGUCUGAAUAAUGUCACUGCAUGUUCCUAGAGGCACAAACUCGGUUUCAACUACCAACAUGGUACCCAGGACUUGGGUCAAAUUUUGCAAACACACAAGGAUUGCUGUCACUUCUGAUCCUUCCACUGCCCCAAAUGCUUCUCUACUGACUCUCGCUUGUACUUCACAAUGAAUCUCAAAUGCUCCCUCUUCCAAGAAGGCCUCUCUGACUCCCCAAAUCUGAGUUAGCCCUGGAAUUACUGAAUUCAAAGUGCCCUUAGAGAUUUCUGUUCUAAAACACAUUUUUUACAAUGGAAGAAAUUAACGUGAGUGACAUUGCUGGCAUAGGACCAGGACUCCUAGACACGCUUUUUACACAACACGUUAAAAUAUUUACAUCUAAAAUAGUUACAAACUAAUCCUUUUUCUUUUUUCAAUUACAUAGUAAAACUAACUGCUGAUAAUGAAGUGCCAGGCACUGAGGAUGUGGAGAUAAAGGAGAAAUGGUUUGAGUUCUUUCUAAAGUUAUAGACUGGGCAAGUUGUGAAAAAAUACACUGGGGACUGUUAGAGUAAGAACUUUAUCUGAAGAUGCUACCACAAUCCCUGGGCUGGCACACAGCAGAACUUUAGGAAAAGUAUGGUGAGUGAAUUAGCUACUAUCAGUAAUAUAAUUGAAGUAUAUACCACCUAUUUUAAGAGAAAGGAAAGAUGACCCUAAUUUCUUGUUAUUUCAAGGAAAAACUGUCUCAAUUUUAGUAAAAAUCUUGGGAGCUGUGCUUUGGAGUUCUAAAGUAAAAUGGUAGAUAUAUUUUGCCUGUGAGGAAGACAUGAAUUUGGGGUGAUCAAAGACCAGAAUGUUAUGGGCUGAGUUGUGUCCCCGAAAAUUCAUAUGUUGAAGUCCCAAGCCUCAGUGUCUUGGAAUAUGUGACUCUGUUUGGAAAUAAGGUUUCUAAAGAGUUGAUUCAGUUAAAACGAGGUAAUUGAGGUGAACCCUUACCCAUUAUGACUGGUGUCCUUAGAAGAGAAGGAAAUUUGGGCAUAGACACGUGCCUGCACAGAAGGUAGGCCAUGUGAAGACAAAAGGAGAAGGUGACUAUUUACAUGCCAAGGAGCAAAGUAUCAAAAGAAAUCAGGCCAGCACUUUGAUUUUAGACUUCUAACCUCCAUAACUGGGAGGCAAGACAUUUCUAUUAUUUAAAUCACCUAGUCUGUGGUAGUUUAUGGCAACCUAGCAAACUAAUAGAGUAGAAAAGACAUAUGUUGAGAUACAAGUAUUUUCCAGCAAGCUACAGCAACAAGCCUUCAACUCUAACUAGUGGAGAUUUUGUAGUUUUAACACUAUGCAAAUAUCUGUCAUGCUGACCUUUCUAUGUCUACAAAGGAAAAUUUCUUAUUGUCUUUAUGACUAUGAGAUGCUACUCUUCCACUAGAGAAUAAUUAUUUCCUGAGAUAUCCAACCUUAAUAAGCUAACAAGAACAUCUAAAACAGGGACAUGAUCUCUGUUCUACAUCCACAGAAAGCUGGAGUGUUAAUUUGUACUUCAGGUAACGUUUUUGAGACUAAUUUGCCACCUAAGGCCAUGUGCUGGAUUUCAAAGAUACGCUGAUCAAUAAGAGGAAAAAUAAAAAUGACUAGGUUUCGUCUUGGUUUUGUCUUUAUAAACUUUAAAUGAUAAAAAUAACAUUGAGUGUGUGUGUGUGCUUUACAGCUUUUCUAAUCUGUUUUUGCAUUUCAUUUGAUCUGAACCACAGUACCCUGACUUGGAAGGAUGAAUUUCUAUGUAGACAAGCAAGCUGAGGCUCAAAGACUUACCGCAAGCUGAAUAUGGCCUGAAAACAGUUGAGGUGGGACUGCGGUCCAAUGAUGCUUCCCCCCUUACUGAAUUACUGAUACUUUUAAGGCAGCCAAAGGGAACAUAGUUGUGAUUUCAGAGUGUCCAUAAAGUGAAAAUGAAAGGAGGUGUUUGUGCAGGCUUCUGGACCUGAGGUACUGUAAAUAAGACCAUGGUAAUGGCAGAUUCUCACAUGUCAAAGCCCUUGGUACUUCUGAACUGUGUCUCCCUUACCACAAAUUCAUAUACUGAAAUCCUAAUCCCCGCUACCUCAGAAUGUGACCUUAUUUGGAAAUAGAGUCAUUGUAGAUAUAAUAAUUAGUUAAGAUGAAGUCAUACUGGAGCAUGGUGGGCCCCUAAUCCAAGGUAACUAGUGUCCUUAUAAAAAAAGGGAAAUUUGGACACAGACACACAUACAGAGAAAAUACCAUGUGAAGAUGAAGACAAAGGCUGGAGUCAUGUUUCAACAAGGAACAGCCAUGAUCGCCAGCAAACCACCAGAAGCUUUGGAAGAGGCAUGGAAAAGGCUAUUCCUCACAGCCCUCAAAAGGAACCAACCCCGAUGACACCCUGAUUUUGAAUUUCUACCCUCUAGAAAUGUGAGACAAUAAAUUUCUGUUAAGUCA